AUUGAACGCUGGCGGCAGGCCUAAUACAUGCAAGUCGAGCGGACGAAGGGAGCUCGUUCCUGGAUUCCGCGGCGGACGGGCGAGUAAUGCCUAGGUAUCUGCCCGGCCGUGGGGGAUAACGUCCGGUCACGGGCGCUAAUACCGCAUACGUUCUGAGGGUGAAAGGGGUGGAUCUUCGGACCAUACGGUAUUAGAUGAGCCUAGGACGGAUUAGCUAGUUGGUGGGGUAAAGGCCUACCAAGGCGACGAUCCGUAACUGCUAUGAGAGGAUGACCAGUCACACUGGAACUGAGACACGGUCCAGACUCCUACGGGAGGCAGCAGUGGGGAAUCUUGGACAAUGGGCGAAAGCCUGAUCCAGCCAUGCCGCGUGUGUGAAGAAGGUCUUCGGAUUGUAAAGCUCUUUUAGUUGGGAAGAAGAACAGUGAAAGAAUCCCUGGCUGUUUUGACGUUACCAACAGAGAAAGCCCCGGCUAACUACGUG
rnacentral:rRNA from 1 species